GGUUAUCUGCUCAUGAACUUAAUUGCCGCACUUUAUCUGUGCUAAGGUAGCAUAAUCAUUCGUUUUUUAAUUGAAAACUAGAACAAACGAUUAAACAUUUUAAUUAUUUUCUUACUUUUAAUAAUUAAAUUUAUCUUAUAUGUAAUAAGACAUAUAUUAAAAAGAAAGACGAUGAGACCCUAUUGAACUUAACUAAAGUUAAACUGGGGCAGUUAAUCAAUUAUUAUUUUAAUUACACAAAUUAAACAAAAGACCUAAUAUAAUUAAUUAAAUAAUCAACGUUACCAUAGGGAUAACAGCAUAAUAUUUAUCUAAAGCUCUUAUAUAAACAAAAGUUUAUGACCUCGAUGUUGAAUUAAUUAUACUUAUUUAAGCAAGAUUAAACAUAAGAAAGUCUGUUCGACUUAUAAAAAUUUACAUGAUCUGAGUUCAAACCGGAGAA
rnacentral:rRNA from 1 species